UAGGGAAUAUUGGUAAUGUGCGAAAGCGCGAACCAGCAACGCCGCGUGCACGAUGAAGGCCUUCGGGUCGUAAAGUGCUUUUAGAGAGGAUGAGGAAGGACAGUACUUUCUGAAUAAGCCUCGGCUAACUACGUGCCAGCAGCCGCGGUAAAACGUAGGAGGCAAGCGUUAUCCGGAUUUACUGGGCGUAAAGCGCAUGCAGGUGGUUUUGUAAGUUGGAUGUGAAAGCUCCUGGCUUAACUGGGAGAGGUCGUUCAAAACUACAAGACUUGAGAUUGGUAGAGGAAAAUGGAAUUCCGGGUGUCGUGGUGAAAUGCGCAGAUAUCCGGAGGAACACCAGUGGCGAAAGCGGUUUUCUGGACCAAUUCUGACACUCAGAUGCGAAAGCUAAGGUAGCAAACG
rnacentral:rRNA from 1 species